GUGUGGAGAGUGCGGGCGCUGGACAGCAGCUCCGGCCCCUCACCGACGCGCAGCCCGCGCCUGGGCCGACCUGUUGACUGAAAAUCAGCCGGCGCUUGGCCAGAUGCGUCGAUGGAGGCCCGCAGCCCAGCGACGACGUGGUAGUCAUGGCUGAAGCGGCGCCUGCCCCGCCAAAUGCAGAGAAGAGCUCAUACCUCUAUUCCAUAGAAAUCACACUGUGGACCGUGGUGCCUGCUGUUCAGGCCUUGGAGAAGAAAAGUGGAUUCUUGCCUGGCCCGCUUGCUGACUCUGGAGGGAUGCUCAGGGACAGCAGAGAAGAAGCUGGCUGACUGUGAGAAGACAGCUGUGGAGUUCAGCAGCCAGCUGGAGGGCAAGUUGGCCGUGCUGGGGACCCUGCCUCAGGAGUCUAGGCUGCUGCAUGAAGAACCUCAUGGGCAACUGGAACUUCUGGGUCCAGCGGCUUCCCCCUGGCAACAAGGGGGAGGUCCCCAAGAGUGGGCCAAGCUGGAGGACUGGCAGAAGAGGCUCGACAAGCAUGUGAUGGGGGCAGCUAUGAGAUGCUCGUUUCCCUGGAUUAUGCCAUCUCCAAACCGGUCAUUCUCACCCAGAUAGAGAGGGGAGAAGAGCCUUGUCCUG
rnacentral:lncRNA from 1 species